CGGCGCAGCUCGGAUGCUCUCCGCGAGCACGCCUGGCCCACCCGCCGCCGCCCAGCUUCUCGGAGCUAAUCAAGGGAAACGUAACUAGUCCAGGCAGCGGGACGAGUUUACAGCAACUGACAUUCAUCUGCUCCUGCCUCCGCUAAGGGCGACUUGGAGACGGACCUCUGAUCUCCCCGGUUCCACUUCAGUGGGCACUCAGCACGGCGGCUGUCAUCUGCAGACACUGAAGAGCGCGCUAAUAGAAUCACAGCCCUCGUUAGCUACUGAAUAAAAGAUCAAUCACAGACUUUGAAAGCUCUUGCUACCAGCUUCCAGAGGAAACAAGGAAAGGAAAAAAAAAAAAGGAGAGCGAGAGAGGGAGAGAGAGAGCGAGCGAGCAAGAGAGAUAUUUAGGAUCAUCGCUGAGAUUCUGAAUGGCCUCGCUGCAAGUUACUUAAAUUACCUUUUCCACGACUGACUCCAACUGCAAUACUCAAAGGAACUUGUUAAGCCUGCUUUCAAGAGCAGCACUCUAAUAUAUGACUGCUAGACCCUGGUCAAAAGUUCAUAAUGUGCAUAUGUAAAAAGGUACUAAAUUGCCUGAGGGCUAAAACCAGAGGAGUUUAAUUGUAGCAAAAUGCUGAAAAUGGUCUGUUGAGGGUCCUUCUAUUGGGAUACUGCUGGGUCUGGCUGAUUGAAGUAUAGAACAUAAAAGCCUUGCAACAAUAUUUCCUUAAAUGCUGGGGAAACUGCCAGCCGUUGGUAUUGCAUGAAUGUUGUGGUUGAAGAAAAACAUUUUCCUCCCCUAAAAUAAAUAGAGUAUUAAGAACUGCUCCAGCCCAUAAUUCUAAAGCAUGAUGGAAAAAGGGAGGGCUCAAUGAUAAUAAAUAAGUAUAAUUCAUAGGGCAUGUCCAAUCUCCUCCAAGUGUAUUUUUACAUGGGGCACAGUGAAGGUAUUCAGGCAUGACCUGCAAGGGUUUUGGGGGCGGCAAUUGGCUCUGAUUUUGAAAACAGCUUUGCGCUGCUCCUGGCUGCCUUGCUGGUCUCUGGGUUAGACGUACCCAAGUGGGGAACCUUGCAAAAGGCCCCGUUUGGCUUGUCUUUAUUUCUUCUUUCAUUAAAUCAGAUCUCGAGUUCCAGCUACCCACACAUUUGGCUUGUGUGGAUGGGGUUUCUCAACCCAGAAUUCCCUACCUUCUCCAGGUACACUCCCACAUUUUCCCCCUUUCUGGCCUUCCUAAUUAGUUCCUCAUUUGGAUAAGUGACAAUAUGAGUUCAGCACAUGAUGACUCAGAUGCUAGGAGGGCCUAUGUUAAAUAUAGGACACCCAGGAGAAGCUAGAAUUUGCUAGGUGGGCUCUUGGAUUUAUUACGAGUGUGUGUGAAAGGUACAGUUUUCAUGGAUAGUGAAAUGCCCAUGUGCCAUUUUAAUCAGGUUUUAAAAUAUAUAUCAAACAUGGAAUUCCACACAUUAUGUUGUUGCACCAAACUCACAUGAGGGCAACAGAUUAAUGACUGGAUGGUCUGACAAAUACCAACACCACACCAGUGAAGCUCGAAACUUGAGCCGCAGCAUGAGUUACAUCUGUGCCUAGAAUUUGACAAAUGUGAUUAGCAAUAUUCAUAUCCUCAGUGAUAUCUGCAAUCAGCAUUAUUCUCCAAGAAAAUUACUUUGCAAACUUGCAGGGUGAUGCAAGUGAUAUUUCCUAAUAUGAAAGAGCAGACCAAAAACUCAAAGCACCCAUUUAAUAUUGGAUAUUGCAUUGCUCAAGGACCCCUCCACCUCAUAGGUCCAACCCUCAAAGGUCACCUGGAUCGAUUCAGAAUACACAGCCUUUCAUACUCUAAAAGGGGUCAAAUCUACUCUCUAGUUCUUCAAAGGCAAGGACGUAGCGGGUCAUUGGACGUGCCCGCCAUAUGCUGUGCUAGUUUUUUUCCUCUAGCAAAGUGCAAAUCCGAGUUAUUCAGGCCUAUGUUCUACACAAGGAGCAGGGAAUUUCCCAAUAGUUAGUCCGCACAACCUCUGGUCUGUUCUCCAUAAGCGCUGGAGAAAUCUGUGCCCCUGAAGCACUAAUAUUUGAGGAGGAAAGAAGAGCAAGGUGGGCUCUUGAGCAGUAAACAACUAAGAAGAUGAUACAGCACAAGCUGCCUCCACAGCCUUCAGGAAUGUCAGGACUGGACCCAUCCUUACCAUGUGCCACUGUCUCAUUCCCGAGCAUAGGUUCCCAAACCACAGAGGAGCAGCUCAGCUCCUCUGGCAGCAAUGCCAUGCUUCAUCCAUGGUGCAGGUCCCAGAAACCACACUCAGCCCUGGGGUUAUGGCUGGAGCCUGCAGAAGCCUUGGUAUGCUCUAGGGUACAUCUCGGGGAAGCAGUGAGAUGCAGUGGGGAGGGCACCCACAUCAGAUGCUCAGCUCUGCCCCUUACUGGCCCUAUGACUGAGGCAAGGUACGCAAGGCCUCUGCUUCCUCAUCUCUAAAAUGGGCAUGAUAGCCUAUAAUUCAAAGGGUCCUGUGGGAGGUAAAGUAAUUGGAAUGACCUAUAAACCACACCUGGCCCAUUGCCUGGCACUUAGCAAAAUGCUUCUUCUACCCUCUUGUCCCUCCCAUGUAAUCCUGAAAACAAUCUAAAGGGUGCUCAAAUGAGAAUACUAUAGAUAGGACCGUCCUAAAAUAUAUGGCUGCAGAUUUCAAUAUGAUUGCAAUGAAAAACACUGUGGACUCUCUGGGGAUCACUGUGUUCCAAGAAGGACUUUAUCUGAUAUUGUCGCCCACACUUAAGUGGCAGCUCAAAUAUGUGAACAGACGAGACUUAUUAUAAGCUGAGUGUGCAUUUAGAUACACGCUUUUAAGCUGAUCACCCAGAAUCCACAGAAAAGUGCGAACCUGAUAUUCGUGACUCCUUGCUUCCAUCCUCAGCCAGCUUCUUAAAGAUAAACCCAAGACUGGGAAGGCUACCUUGGGAAUUUGUGGGCCGCUUUCACUUUCCCAGGUUAGUAACUGACGCGGCAUUUCCAUUUCCGUUUGCUCCAAGUGCACCCCAUCCGCACUCCCAUCCCCGCCUCCCAUGUGAAAAGAAAAUAAUUCAAACAAAAUGUCACAAUGAAUGUGCAAAGGCACCGCAGAGAGGCCAAAGUUACAGGGUCAGAGUGACAUCCAGGAGAAUGAUGGCACUUGGUUUAAAUCUCACUGAAAAUGCUAUCGUUUUCAGUAAAAGUGUGUGCUAAAAUAUCCUAAAAAUAAUAAUAAUAAACUAUCCCUGAUUUUAAAACCAUCAGCAAAAUCCCUGUCACCCACAGAUGGAGCUGCUGUGUAGACUGGGUUUUAUAGACACUAGAGAAACACAGCCUGCUGCAGGGUUACCUUCCUGGGAAGCCACACAGCCUGACUUUAUGAAUAUUCUGUGUCAUUUCCAUACUCGGGGGUCCCUGUGUUUAACUCAUCGCGUGAGCCUGGUGUCCUACAAGCCAGUGGUUUCCAGCUGAGCAAGUUAAGGCAGCAACUACACUUGAUUAAUUCAGAGAGAGAGAGGAGAGAAAUCCAAAGUGUAUAUUUAGUACUUUUCCAGGAGAAAAUUACUUUGGAUUUGCAUAAAGAGAAACAAUUAGGUAUUUCUCUUUCAAAAUACUUUUUAAAAAUUUGGCUUUCUUGAAUAUCCUGGACCGUAAAUAUCUACGAAACUAUGUGUACAGGGCAGAGAGAUGUCUAGUAUGAUGCAGAACCUACCUAUGAAAUUCCAACCUCUACCACCCCCCCCACCCCAACACAGAUCCCUAUAGGGCUUUAGUACCAACCAUAAUUAGAGGCACAGGAGUUGUGGCUUUUUGUCCUAAAUAGCCAGAAAUUACUGAAACUUUCAAAGUGAAAUAGCUUCUAGAACUUAACAGUGACGAUCUCUAUAGGCAUCAAAGCCACACCCAAGUUACUACGCAGCUAAAUUUGGGGUCAAAUAAUUAACAAGAAAGGCAAAAUCAGGGUAAGCCAAUCAAAGACGAUUCCGAGAUAUUCUGAAAUUGGUUUAGAGAAGCCCUGCUGUGAACUAAUAGGACUGGGAGAGCCAUUCACUAUUCUGUUAUGUACUAUGUAUUGGGACUCUAAAGUUGAAAUCUUGCAAUUUUUCAUUUGUAACAUCAAGAAGGCCUUCGGCACGGGGAGGGGGGUGUCGAAUCUGGCUGGCUCAGUUAGAAGAACAUGGGACUCAAGCCCCAUGUUGGUAGAGAUUACUAAAAAAAAAAAAAAAAAACCAAAGGGCUUAACUCCCAAGCCACUUUCGAAAUAUCCAGUUAGGCAAGAAAUAUGCAUCCAUUCAAAAUACUGGAAAUGCCACGUCAGUUAAAAUGUGAAAUAGGUGAGAGUCUCAUAGUGCCGUGAAUACUCUGUCAGCAUGAACUUGAAACGGUCUUCACAUUUCAGAGCUCGGUUUCUUGAUCUCUAAACUAACGGGAUCAGCCUAUAUAAUCUCCAGGGCUACGUCAGGACUGUGGCCACUUGAGACUACCAAAGGGAGCCUUAGUUCAUCCAACUAUGCCAGGUGCUUGUGGAUCAGUUCUUCCAAAGUCAUCUGCUGGCCUCCACUUAGAAACUGCAAUCCAUUAGUUUACUAAUAUUAUCCCUCUAUGUUAUAAUUAAUAGUAGCAACUAGCCUGGGAAAACUUCAAGCAGUCCUGUAAGUGAAGUCAAUUAAAUACCCAGAUGACACGGGGAAUGGAAAUUGUUGGAAAUAAAGGGUUUUAUUUCUUCCCCUGGCCCAAGGAGGA